rnacentral:rRNA from 1 species
UACCAGCUCUCCGAGUGGUAGGGAUGAUUAUUGGGCUUAAAGCGUCCGUAGCCGGCUUAGCAAGUUUCUUGUUAAAUUCAGCGACCUAAUCGUUGAGCCGCGGGAAAUACUACUAGGCUAGGAGGCGGGAGAGGUCGACGGUACUUCUGGGGUAGGGGUGAAAUCCUAUAAUCCCGGGAGGACCACCAGUGGCGAAGGCUGUCGACUAGAACGCGCUCGACGGUGAGGGACGAAAGCUGGGGGAGCGAACCGGAUUAGAUACCCGGGUAGUCCCAGCUGUAAACGAUGCGGGCUAGGUGUUGGGGUGGCUACGUGCCACUUCAGUGCCGCAGGGAAGCCAUUAAGCCCGCCGCCUGGGGAGUACGGCCGCAAGGCUGAAACUUAAAGGAAUUGGCGGGGGAGCACCACAGGGCGUGAAGCUUGCGGUUC